GACAGAACUCAGAGCUGCAAGAGAAAGAAGACUGAAUUCAGUCUCUCUUGCAGAAAAAUUGUUUUCCGUCAAGUUGAUAAUAAUGAUCACACUGAGAAUGAAUGACUCAAGAUGAAUAUCCAAAGAUAUAUCAAAACCUGGUCAGCAGUCGUGGGGAAAGGAAGAAAGCCUGAGUUGAGUUUAUGAAAGUUUUCCACUAAAGUCAGCAACAGCUUAAAUUCAAACCAGGCACAAGACGCUUGAAUCUCCAUAUGAGUUGUUCAUCAAAGGGCUGAAAGAAAAGAAAUCUGAGCCCGAGCACGGUCUGGCCUAAAAGCUUUCAAGUGACUCCUUUCUGCAGCCCAAUAAAGCAAUUGUUUGGAUUUGGGAAUGUAAGGACCAUCUCCUCCAAGCUAAACUCUGAAGUAUAAGGUG
rnacentral:lncRNA from 10 species